rnacentral:rRNA from 1 species
UACAGAGGUCCCAAGCGUUGUUCGGAUUCAUUGGGCGUAAAGGGUGCGUAGGUGGCGCCGUAAGUCAGGUGUGAAAUUUCGGAGCUUAACUCCGAAACUGCAUUUGAUACUGCGGUGCUUGAGGACUGGAGAGGAGACUGGAAUUUACGGUGUAGCAGUGAAAUGCAUAGAGAUCGUAAGGAAGACCAGUGGCGAAGGCGGGUCUCUGGACAGUUCCUGACACUGAGGCACGAAGGCCAGGGGAGCAAACGGG